GAUGAACGCUGGCGGCGUGCCUAAUACAUGCAAGUCGAGCGAACAGACGAGGAGCUUGCUCCUCUGACGUUAGCGGCGGACGGGUGAGUAACACGUGGAUAACCUACCUAUAAGACUGGGAUAACUUCGGGAAACCGGCGCUAAUACCGGAUAAUAUAUUGAACCGCAUGGUUCAAUAGUGAAAGACGGUUUUGCUGUCACUUAUAGAUGGAUCCGCGCCGCAUUAGCUAGUUGGUAAGGUAACGGCUUACCAAGGCAACGAUGCGUAGCCGACCUGAGAGGGUGAUCGGCCACACUGGAACUGAGACGCGGUCCAGACUCCUACGGGAGGCAGCAGUAGGGAAUGUUCCGCAAUAGGCGAAAGCCUGACGGAGCAACGCCGCGUGAGUGAUGAAGGUCUUCGGAUCGUAAAACUCUGUUAUUAGGGAAGAACAAAUGUGUAAGUAACUAUGCACGUCUUGACGGUACCUAAUCAGAAAGCCACGGCUAACUACGUG
rnacentral:rRNA from 1 species